rnacentral:SRP_RNA from 1 species
CAUUGGUCCCCUCGCAAUAAUAUGUUGUGAACCCCGUCAGGCCCGGAAGGGAGCAGCGGCAGCAGCGGAUUUAUGUGCCGAGGUGUGGCUGGUGCGG